CAGCCGCCGCGGUAAUACGUAGGGUGCGAGCGUUAAUCGGAUUUACUGGGCGUAAAGCGUGCGCAGGCGGCCCGUUAAGACAGGUGUGAAAUCCCUGGGCUCAACCUAGGAAUUGCGCUUGUGACUGGCGGGCUCGAGUACGGUAGAGGGGGGUGGAAUUCCUGGUGUAGCAGUGAAAUGCGUAGAGAUCAGGAGGAACACCGAUGGCGACGGCAGCCCCCUGGGCCUGUACUGACGCUCAUGCACGAAAGCGUGGGGAGCAAACAGGAUUAGAUACCCUGGUAGUCCACGCCCUAAACGAUGGGUACUAGCCGUUUGGUGCGCGAUAGCGCUGAGUGGCGAAGCUAACGCGUGAAGUACCCCGCCUGGGGAGUACGGCCGCAAGGUUGAAACUUAAAGGAAUUGGCGGG
rnacentral:rRNA from 1 species